rnacentral:rRNA from 1 species
CGGAGGGAUCAUUACCGAGUUUACAACUCCCAAACCCCUGUGAACAUACCAAUUGUUGCCUCGGCGGAUCAGCCCGCUCCCGGUAAAACGGGACGGCCCGCCAGAGGACCCCUAAACUCUGUUUCUAUAUGUAACUUCUGAGUAAAACCAUAAAUAAAUCAAAACUUUCAACAACGGAUCUCUUGGUUCUGGCAUCGAUGAAGAACGCAGCAAAAUGCGAUAAGUAAUGUGAAUUGCAGAAUUCAGUGAAUCAUCGAAUCUUUGAACGCACAUUGCGCCCGCCAGUAUUCUGGCGGGCAUGCCUGUUCGAGCGUCAUUUCAACCCUCAAGCCCAGCUUGGUGUUGGGACUCGCGAGUUAAACCGCGUUCCCCAAAUUGAUUGGCGGUCACGUCGAGCUUCCAUAGCGUAGUAGUAAAACCCUCGUUACUGGUAAUCGUCGCGGCCACGCCGUUAAACCCCAACUUCUGAAUGUUGACCUCGGAUCAGGUAGGAAUACCCGCUGAACUUAAGCAUAU